UAUCCUCGAGCAGUCGUGGAAGAGGUGCCAGCUCGUUUUCUUUCCUUCCUUACAAAGAGAACAAAUCUGUCUAUCGUUUUCUGGAUUCGAUUUAUUCGUGAAGAGGUUCGAAGUUGCCAUCCUCUAGCACAACCAUUUUUGUCUUGCGUUUGAAAAAGGUUUCCGCAUGACUGUCCAUGGAUUAUGGUCAUUGACUUCCUCCCUGGACCCGGUGAGUCUUCUCUCAACUAUUAAUGAUCAAUGAGGGAGUAAAGGGUCGGAAUCUUAUCUCUGAAUAUGAGUUUGUCUUCAUUUGGAUUCUUUUGAGUGUCAAAAAAUAAGCUCCAUCCGGUUCUACGUCUUGCAAUUAUAUUUCUCCUACCAAGGUUCAUCAGGGCCGAGGAGUCUUAAAUGUGGUGCAAAAUUGAGUUCCAGGAUCUACUCAUAGCAACCCAAUAACUACUUAGUUGUUUUUUUUCAAAACCGUCGUGACUUCGACUGGACACAUAAAUAUUCUUUCAUAAAAAUCGUUCGUAAAUUAGAGCCGAUUCUUAUUCUUGUGGCCCAAAAGUCUUGACUCAAUCACAAUUGUUUCAACCAUGUCAUUUUCAAAGACUUCCACACCACCUCCACAGGGGUCCCCCCCAUACCCCAGUCAUCGAUAGAAGAGUUUUGUUUUGCAUCUUGUAUCGUAAGUAUUUCAGUAAAUGGAUAACCCUAAGGAGUAUGCAAACAUUCCACGCUUGAAGUUUAUCGAGUCUAUUAUACAUAAAGUUCGCAAAGAAUUUGGAAAAGUUUACCAAUGUUGUUAUGAGGAUUUUUUCAUUCUGAUCGAACGAAUCCUUUUUUACUCUUUAUUUCUUUAAUAAGUUAUAAAUAUAUCUUUUUGAAUAUUAUCAUUUA
rnacentral:lncRNA from 1 species